GGACAUAUAGCUCAGUGGUAGAGAGCACGCUUAGCAUGCGUGAGGUCCUGGGUUCAAUCCCCAGUAUCUCUA
rnacentral:tRNA from 1 species